GAAGUAAAAGCGAGGCAAGAUGUGAAACCAGACAUCCGGCAGCCUCCAUUCACAGACUACAGGCAGCCUCCACUGGACUACAGGCAGCCCCCAGGAGGGGACUACCCGCAGCCCCCACCCGUGGACUACAGGCAGCCUCCGCUCCUGGACUACAGGCAGCCUCCCCAGACACCAGGCAGUUCCCGCUGUCAGACUACAGGCAGCCCCAGGAUUUUGAUUAUUUCACUGUGGACAUGGAGAAAGGAGCCAAAGGAUUUGGAUUCAGCAUUCAUGGAGGAAGGGAGUACAAAAUGGAUUUGUAUGUGCUGAGAUUAGCAGAAGAUGGGCCAGCAAUAAGGAAUGGAAGGAUGAGGGCUCAUGGGGAACAGAAGAGGGUGAACUGCAAUGUCACUCACGCGUGACGCUGAGGGAAAGCACAUUCACAGCCUUGAAAGUUCGCAACUUGAAGGCGUUCAUGCUAAGUUGCUUCAGUCAUGUCCAACUCUUUGCGACCCUUUGGACUAUAUAGA